CUUGAUCAUGUAGGGCAGCUUACGAGGACUAACCAUUGAAGCACAAGAUUGGAUAGAAGACAUCACAUAGCUACUGGUCAUAGACUCAUGGUCCAAGGAGGACUACUCAUCGCACAUUCGGUAAGUGUUCAUGGUGGUGGAGAAGCUCCUAGAGGUCAAUCCUACCUCCGGCAGGGUGUCGGAAAGAGGUCUCGUGACACUCCCGAUCUCGGAA
rnacentral:lncRNA from 1 species